rnacentral:rRNA from 1 species
UGGGGAAUAUUGCACAAUGGGGGAAACCCUGAUGCAGCGACGCCGCGUGAAGGAAGAAGGCCUUCGGGUUGUAAACUUCUGUCGUAAGGGACGAUAAUGACGGUACCUUACAAGAAAGCCACGGCUAACUACGUGCCAGCAGCCGCGGUAAAACGUAGGUGGCAAGCGUUGUCCGGAAUUACUGGGUGUAAAGGGAGCGCAGGCGGGUUUGCAAGUUGGAAGUGAAAACCAUGGGCUCAACCUAUGGACUGCUUUCAAAACUGCAGAUCUUGAGUGGUGUAGAGGUAGGCGGAAUUCCCGGUGUAGCGGUGGAAUGCGUAGAUAUCGGGAGGAACACCAGUGGCGAAGGCGGCCUACUGGGCACUAACUGACGCUGAGGCUCGAAAGCAUGGGUAGCAAACA